rnacentral:rRNA from 1 species
CCUACGGGUGGCAGCAGUGAGGAAUAUUGGUCAAUGGACGCAAGUCUGAACCAGCCAUGUAGCGUGCAUGAUGACGGCCCUCCGGGUUGUAAACAGCUUUUAGUUGGGAAUAAAGGAGUGCUCGUGUGCCCCGUUUUGUAUGUACUAUCAGCAAAAUGACCGCCUAAUUCCGUGCCAGCAGCCGCGGUAAUACGGAAGGUCCGGGCUUUAUCCGGCUUUAUUGGGUUUAAAGGGAGCGUAGGCGGGCUUUUAAGUCAGCUGUGAAAGUCCGCGGCUCAACCGUGGAAUUGCAGUUGAAACUGGAGGCCUUGAGUGCACACAGGGAUGCUGGAAUUCAUGGUGUAGCGGUGAAAUGCUUAGAUAUCAUGAAGAACUCCGAUCGCGAAGGCGAGCGUCUGGGGUGCAACUGACGCUGAGGCUCGAAAGUGUGGGUAUCAAACAGGAUUAGAUACCCGAGUAGUC